rnacentral:misc_RNA from 1 species
CCGUAUUCUUGCCCACAAAGCAAAGUUUACGAAAAAAACCCAGAGAAAUAUAUGAAACGACUGUCAGAGUACCGCUUGAGGCACCGCGGUGGGUAAGGCUGUUACGGCCUCCCCGCACCAGCCGAUGGUUUUAUGUCGUAAAUUCACAACGUUCCUACGUAUCCUCUGCGAUUUCGCGUCGAAGCAACGGGCCUAGUGGUGCUCUCGCCUUCGAUGCUUGUCUGAGCGGACGGAUGACGGAGCAAAAGACCCAACUGGGAGAUGGCCCAAAACAGGGAUGGCCAGAUGAAGUGUCGGUAUCGGACGAAACACCCAUAAGAUGUUUGCACGUGCCCCCGCUCGAGCAGAGAAGAACUUUGUUUCUUAUCGAGCGUAUGGCUAGGCGCUGCCUUCUUCGUUGGUGAGCUGAUAGUAAUGCGGUAGAGAGCAUUUUAAUUUUUUUUUUAUUUUGCUCUCGCUCUCCGCGCCGACGCGACCCGGUAUAGGUCACUCAUCCCGUCUAACUCAUGCCUCCACGCUUGCGUGGUGUAAAAGGCGACUUGAUGGAAUGAAAUCAAUGUGGAGUUUAAACCCGCCGCACAGCGUGCACCCAGAGAUAUAAAAAGGAAAAAUGUUGAACGGAACGGACCGAUCAGAGAUAUGAAAACGGCCGUUUCGUUCUUUUUUUUCCGCACGCUGGUGGACUCCAAGUUUUACUUCGGAAGUACCCCAAUCUGAAUAUCUUUGUCGCCGUACACGAGCACCCGCUCCGCCGGCUUCAAAAUAUCAAA